AGAGUUUGAUCCUGGCUCAGGAUGAACGCUGGCGGCGUGCCUAAUACAUGCAAGUCGAACGGAGGAGUUGCUUUCGGGUGACUUCUUAGUGGCGAACGGGUGAGUAACGCGUUGGUGACCUGCCCCGAAGAACGGGAUAACAGUUCGAAAGGACUGCUAAUACCGUAUGAAGUCAUGAGGAUUAGAGGCCUCAUGAAAAAAAGGAGCAAUCCGCUUUGGGAGGGGCCUGCGUCCCAUCAGCUAGUUGGUAAGGUAAAGGCUUACCAAGGCGAUGACGGGUAGGGGACCUGAGAGGGUGGCCCCCCACACUGGAACUGAAACACGGUCCAGACACCUACGGGUGGCAGCAGUAGGGAAUAUUGCUUAAUGGGCGAAAGCCUGAAGCAGCAACGCCGCGUGUGUGAAGAAGGCCUUCGGGUUGUAAAACACUUUUUGAGGGGAUGAGGAAGGACAGUACCCUCAGAAUAAGCCUCGGCUAACUACGUGCCAGCAGCCGCGGUAAAACGUAGGAGGCGAGCGUUAUCCGGAUUUACUGGGCGUAAAGCGCGUGUAGGCGGCACGGCAAGUUGGAUGUGAAAGCUCCCGGCUUAACUGGGAGAGGUCGUUCAAAACUGCCGAGCUAGAGUGCGGGAGAGGGAGGUGGAAUUCCGGGUGUAGUGGUGAAAUGCGUAGAUAUCCGGAGGAACACCAGUGGCGAAAGCGGCCUCCUGGCCCGCAACUGACGCUCAGACGCGAAAGCUAGGGUAGCAGACGGGAUUAGAGACCCCGGUAGUCCUAGCUGUAAACGAUGUAGCUUGGCGUUGGUGGGUUCAAAUCCAUCAGUGCCGGAGCAAACGCGUUAAGUCUACCGCCUGGGGACUACGGCGCAAGGUUAAAACUCAAAGGAAUUGACGG
rnacentral:rRNA from 1 species